rnacentral:pre_miRNA from 1 species
GAAAGAAGAGCCUGUCAAACUAGCCAGGAUGAUUGCCUGGCCAAGCAUGAGCUUUGAACUAUGAACACAGAGCUGAAGUCUCUAAUGGAAGAGCAGGCAAGUCAUCCUUGGCUACCAAACAAGACUCUUGUUC